CCUCAGGUCCACUUUGCUCUGUGCAGCUGAAGUUCAGGCCAGCGAGAACAAAGUGUCAUUCCUGGUUAAUGGUUAAGGACAUUCCCAAAGGAGAGUUAGGUUUCUCAGAGGCCAGUGUAGGGUUUCCACAUGAUUGGGCAGUCCUGGUGUUAAGUGCAUUAUUCUACAAACCUUGACUCCAACUGCGGCUGUCUCUCUCUCUCCCUCUCCCUCUCUCUCUCUCUCUCUCUCUCUCUCUCUAUGUCUCUCUCAGGCUGUAGGGGGGCUGAUUCUGGAGAAGCCGGUGGACAAGCACCAUGCCUAUUGCAUGCUUUCCAGAUUGAGUGGGAAGGAGCACAGCGUGUUCACGGGCGUAGCCAUUGUGCACUGCAGCACGAAAGAUGGCCGUCUGGACACGGAGGUGUCCGAGUUCUAUGAAGAAACGAGAGUGAAGUUUUCCGAGCUGUCGGAGGAGUUGCUGUGGGAUUACAUUGACAGUGGGGAG